UACGUAGGGUGCAAGCGUUAAUCUGAAUUACUGGGCGUAAAUCGUGCGCAGGCGGUGAUGUAAGACAGAUGUGAAAUCCCCGGGCUCAACCUGGGAACUGCAUUUGUGACUGCAUCGCUGGAGUGCGGCAGAGGGGGAUGGAAUUCCGCGUGUAGCAGUGAAAUGCGUAGAUAUGCGGAGGAACACCGAUGGCGAAGGCAAUCCCCUGGGCCUGUACUGACGCUCACGCACGAAAGCGUGGGGAGCAAACAGG
rnacentral:rRNA from 1 species